UUUCGCUGCCGAUUUCUCAAUGAACAGUGACGCAGAGCUGGGAGGGAGGGGUAAAACUGAUUUUAGAUAAACCAAACAAGGAUAAGGACACACCUAAACCAACCCCCAAACAACCCAUUUCAUUGGAUGGGUAGUAUAAAUACAAAGAGGGGAGAGAGAAUGACCCAUCUUCUUCCAAAUCCAGCAGCUGCAUGCCGUUCUUCCCUUCCCCUUUCACAACAGAAACGUGAAUCAGACCAGUAGAGAUUACUUUGUGAACUUGUGAGGGAGAGAUGAGACCUUGAGAGAGGAGUGGGCAGCUGCAUAGAGGAGAGGAAAAAGAGAGCUGGAAAACGUGAGAGGAAGAAGAAGGAGGAGAACCAGCAGCUGAAUAGUGUCAAACCUUCCUCAAACUUAGUUAAAUUCAGAAGGUGGUGCGGUCGGGAUUGGACCAUCAUCAAGACAGGAACGACCCACAGGUGGAGCAGGGACGUCACACCAACGAGAUGUCUAGGAUACCCGAUACACGAGAACCUACUUUUGCAAGGAAUUAAGUAGAUGCAUUCUAAAUCACAAUGUAUUUUGUAGGGAUCAAUGUACUGAAUGUAUAACUUUUAUUAGAUCCUUUUUGUUUAAAAAUUGUGAUGGCUAUUAGAAGUAUAAGAGUGCAAACUCAUGUCCAUGUAUAUAUAUUUUUAAUAUGAACUCCAAAUCAUGCAACCUUAAUAUUA